AGGUUGAAGCACCGCUUCUAACGCGAUCACUGAAAUUAAUCAAGAUAGAGCCGGAUCAGUACUUAGAUGGGUGACCACUUGGGAAUACCAAAUGCGG